ACCUGUUGCUGACUACAAGAGAUGAGAGU
rnacentral:piRNA from 1 species